rnacentral:rRNA from 1 species
AGUGAACGCUGGCGGUAGGCCUGACACAUGCAAGUCGAACGGCAGCACAGUAAGAGCUUGCUCUUACGGGUGGCGAGUGGCGGACGGGUGAGGAAUACAUCGGAAUCUACUUUUUCGUGGGGGAUAACGUGGGGAAACUUACGCUAAUACCGCAUACGACCUACGGGUGAAAGCAGGGGAUCUUCGGACCUUGCGCGAUUGAAUGAGCCGAUGUCGGAUUAGCUAGUUGGCGGGGUAAAGGCCCACCAAGGCGACGAUCCGUAGCUGGUCUGAGAGGAUGAUCAGCCACACUGGAACUGAGACACGGUCCAGACUCCUACGGGAGGCAGCAGUGGGGAAUAUUGGACAAUGGGCGCAAGCCUGAUCCAGCCAUACCGCGUGGGUGAAGAAGGCCUUCGGGUUGUAAAGCCCUUUUGUUGGGAAAGAAAAGCAGCAGGUUAAUACCCCGCUGUUCUGACGGUACCCAAAGAAUAAGCACCGGCUAACUUCGUG